rnacentral:rRNA from 1 species
UACAGAGGUCCCAAGCGUUGUUCGGAUUCAUUGGGCGUAAAGGGCUCGUAGGCGGCCAACUAAGUCAGACGUGAAAUCCCCAGGCUCAACCUGGGAACUGCGUCUGAUACUGGAUGGCUUGAAUCCGGGAGAGGGAUGCAGAAUUCCAGGUGUAGCGGUGAAAUGCGUAGAUAUCUGGAGGAAUACCGGUGGCGAAGGCGGCAUCCUGGACCGGCAUUGACGCUGAGGAGCGAAAGCCAGGGGAGCAAACGGG